rnacentral:ncRNA from 1 species
CCUGUGUUAAUUAAAUAGACGCGUAUAAUUUGGGGAUAGGGCUCAAAGUUUCUACCAGACUGCCGUAAAUAGUCUGACUACGCAAGAGAUACUGAUUGCA